UCUAGUAUAGCACUAUACUGUGAAACUGCGAAUGGCUCAUUAAAUCAGUUAUCGUUUAUUUGAUCAUAACCUACUACAUGGAAUACCUGUGGAAAAUCUAGAGCUAAUACAUGCUAAAGCCCCAACUUCGGAAGGGGUGUGUUUAUUAGAUAAAAAGCCAAUGCCCUUCGGGGCUCCUUGGUGAUUCAUGAUAACCUUUCUGAUCGCAAAUGGCCUCCGCGCCGGCGACGGUUCAUUCAAAUUUCUGCCCUAUCAACUUUCGAUGGUACGGUAGUGGCCUACCAUGGUGUCAACGGGUAACGGGGAAUUAGGGUUCGAUUCCGGAGAGGGAGCCUGAGAAACGGCUACCACAUCCAAGGAAGGCAGCAGGCGCGCAAAUUACACAAUGUCGACUCGACGAUGUAGUGACAAUAAAUACUGAUACAGGGCUCUUUUGGGUCUUGUAAUUGGAAUGAGUACAAUUUAAACCUCUUAACGAGGAACAAUUAGAGGGCAAGUCUGGUGCCAGCAGCCGCGGUAAUUCCAGCUCUAAUAGCGUAUAUUAAAGUUGUUGCAGUUAAAAAGCUCGUAGUUGAACCUUUGGCUUGGCGAGCACGUCCGCCUCACCGCGUGCACGUGACCCGCCGAGCCUUUUCUUCUGGAGAACCGCAUGCCCUUCACUGGGUGUGUUGGGGACCAGGACUUUUACUUUGAAAAAAUUAGAGUGUUCAAAGCAGGCCUUUGCUCGAAUACGUUAGCAUGGAAUAAUGGAAUAGGACGUGCGGUCCUAUUUUGUUGGUUUCUAGGACCGCCGUAAUGAUUAAUAGGGACAGUCGGGGGCAUCAGUAUUCAAUUGUCAGAGGUGAAAUUCUUGGAUUUAUUGAAGACUAACUACUGCGAAAGCAUUUGCCAAGGAUGUUUUCAUUAAUCAGUGAACGAAAGUUAGGGGAUCGAAGACGAUCAGAUACCGUCGUAGUCUUAACCAUAAACUAUGCCAGCUGGGGAUCGGACGGUGUUUCUAUUGUGACCCGUUCGGCACCCUACGAGAAAUCAAAGCGUUU
rnacentral:rRNA from 1 species